UAUAACAAUUUAUAUCUCGCGGAAAAUAUAAAUAGUUGAUUUUAAUACUGAGCACGUCACGUAAGGAGGGCGCGCUACAAGUAUGACUAAUUAGUGUUGGGUGAUAUAUAAGUAUAUAGUGCAGUUAAUAAUCACACCCACACACACGAGAUCGAAGAAUAAACAAGUAACCACGUAACUUGUUCGGUUAGUACCCCACGAUAGCGGAAAGGCCCAAACGGGGUUUUUCACCAAAACAAGCAAAAUCACAUCCACACACACGUUCGAGAAAUAAACACGUAAACCACGUAACUUAUCUUAAUGAUAUCCCCACCAAGCACAGGGCUGAAAAAUGGGUGUCUCACUAAAACAAGAAGGGUAUGGGAGUGAUGGGAAUGGGAGCACAAAUUAUGAGUUAGUGAGCAAGUAAAGUUAGUGCACAAAAUUCCCGAUAAUAACGAGUGGCCAACUCGCGUAUUUUGAAAUCAAUAGAGCUUUAAGAUGAAGAGAAUGUUUUGUAUAAAAGCCCUUUGAAAAAUGGUCGGUUAAGACACGAAUAAAAUGAAGCUAAAAAUAAACCACUUACACGAUUUUUGCAAAAAGUUCGCCGGAAAAAUUCGUCGGAGGUUCGAUACAACUUUAAGUACACGAACGAAUUUGGGCAGCCCUUCGGGAGGUGUAAAAGAGUGGUUAAAGAAUAUGCUAAGAUGAACGAGGCUUGGUUGAAUGAAAACAAAGCUUCGGGGUUUAAACCUUGUGUAUAUCGAAGUAUAUGAUGAAUCGAAGGUUUAAAAACAAAGUGAAAGAAGUGAGCACUUGAAUAGACUUUGGGAGAGUGUUUGCUUCUUCAAAAUCUCAGCAUGUAUUUGGC
rnacentral:lncRNA from 1 species